AAACCGCCUUUCUUCCUGGCUCGUCUGGCUGCACGGACCACGAUGACAGUGAAGUCUUCAGGCAGUGUGUUUGAACAUCCAUUAGCCUGGCUACUCUCUCUGGGAGUCCUGGAACUUGAAGGUACUACCUUAUUUGUCUAAUGCAUGAUGCAGAUUUGACAUUCCCCUGCGUGUGUGCUCGUGCAUGUGUGUUUGUGUGGACCUUUUUUCUCGUGUUCACAGGCCAAUUAGUUAAAAAGAUAAAAAAAAUGGGCUGCCCCUUUAAUGUCUCUUUAUCGCCUUAGGGGUGUAUUUUCCUUGAUUUCACAGGAGUUACAUAAAGCCUUCCCUCGUAAGUGGUAAGCAUAUUUUAAUUUCUUAAUGUAGAUACAAGAACCGAUGCAAACCAUGCAAAUGUUGUGAUGCUUUGAGCACAAGUUUCCAAUUGUCAGUUUUCCUUAAUACCAUUGCGUUUUGUCUUUAUUAUUUAAGGAGGAUAAAAAUCUGCUUGGGGAAGAUUAGCAAUGAAGUUUGACGUGGGAAACCUUUGUACCGGCCCCUCCAUUGUGGGAAAAGGGCACUGAUAGGAAGGCAGAUAGAGCUGAUCAAUAGGUGAAGCGUACCGUCUCUGUGCACACACAUCUUCCCAGAGGACAGUUCAUCCCCAUGAAAGUCCUCCUCUCUCUGAGCCAGAAUCUGCCCCCGAACACCCUCCACACCCUCCUCACCCUCGUCCUCACACGUACCAGCCGUUUUACAGCCUCCGUCACCACGCAAUGCACUUUGCCUCUAAAGCCGAGAAUCUGCCUCAGACUGCCGCUCCAGCGAGCGCUGCCAUCUCCCAGCCAGGGAGUCAGGGAGAGUGUGGGGAAGCCAUAGACGUUCCUAAGGUGUGGAUAGUCCGCUGCUGUGGACCCCCUGCCUUCAACUGCUACAACUAUUAAUAUCAGCUGUACAUCUAUUAUAAUUAUUUCAGAGCUGCUCAACUUGAAAUGCUAUAAUUUACAUUAUCAGACCUCCCCAUUUCACCUUGUGGAUGGCUGUUCAACAUGAGUCUUUUCUGCUCGAGGUUUCU